GGGCGUUUGGUGUAGUGGUAUCACUCAUGCUUUGCAAGGGUACGGUCGUACUUCGAACGUACGUCCACGAUUGUAUGCGGUCAUGGGUUCAAACCCCAUAGCGUCCA